GCUGGGCAUAGUGGCGUGUGCCUGUAAUCCCAGCUACUUGGGAGGCUGAGGCAGGAGAAUCUCUUGAACCCAGGAGGCAGAGGCUACAGUGAGCCAAGAUGGUGCCACUGCACUCCAGCCUGGGCGACAGAGUGAGACUCUGUCUCAA
rnacentral:sRNA from 1 species